GAUGAACGCUGGCGGCGUGCCUAAUACAUGCAAGUCGAGCGAACAGACGAGGAGCUUGCUCCUCUAACGUUAGCGGCGGACGGGUGAGUAACACGUGGAUAACCUACCUAUAAGACUGGGAUAACUUCGGGAAACCGGAGCUAAUACCGGAUAAUAUAUUGAACCGCAGGGUUCAAUAGUGAAAGACGGUUUUGCUGUCACUUAUAGAUGGAUCCGCGCCGCAUUAGCUAGUUGGUAAGGUAACAGCUUACCAAGGCAACGAUGCGUAGCCGACCUGAGAGGGUGAUCGGCCACACUGGAACUGAGACACGGUCCAGACUCCUACGGGAGGCAGCAGUAGGGAAUCUUCCGCAAUGGGCGAAAGCCUGACGGAGCAACGCCGCGUGAGUGAUGAAGGUCUUCGGAUCGUAAAACUCUGUUAUUAGGGGAGAACAAAUGUGUAAGUAACUAUGCACGUCUUGACGGUACCUAAUCAGAAAGCCACGGCUAACUACGUGCCAGCAGCCGCGGUAAUACGUAGGUGGCAAGCGUUAUCCGGAAUUAUUGGGCGUAAAGCGCGCGUAGGCGGUUUUUUAAGUCUGAUGUGAAAGCCCACGGCUCAACCGUGGAGGGUCAUUGGAAACUGGAAAACUUGAGUGCAGAAGAGGAAAGUGGAAUUCCAUGUGUAGCGGUGAAAUGCGCAGAGAUAUGGAGGAACACCAGUGGCGAAGGCGACUUUCUGGUCUGUAACUGACGCUGAUGUGCGAAAGCGUGGGGAUCAAACAGGAUUAGAUACCCUGGUAGUCCACGCCGUAAACGAUGAGUGCUAAGUGUUAGGGGGUUUCCGCCCCUUAGUGCCGCAGCUAACGCAUUAAGCACUCCGCCUGGGGAGUACGACCGCAAGGUUGAAACUCAAAGGAAUUGACGGGGACCCGCACAAGCGGUGGAGCAUGUGGUUUAAUUCGAAGCAACGCGAAGAACCUUACCAAAUCUUGACAUCCUCUGACCCCUCUAGAGAUAGAGUUUUCCCCUUCGGGGGACAGAGUGACAGGUGGUGCAUGGUUGUCGUCAGCUCGUGUCGUGAGAUGUUGGGUUAAGUCUCGCAACGAGCGCAACCCUUAAGCUUAGUUGCCAUCAUUAAGUUGGGCACUCUAAGUUGACUGCCGGUGACAAACCGGAGGAAGGUGGGGAUGACGUCAAAUCAUCAUGCCCCUUAUGAUUUGGGCUACACACGUGCUACAAUGGACAAUACAAAGGGUAGCGAAACCGCGAGGUCAAGCAAAUCCCAUAAAGCUGUUCUCAGUUCGGAUUGUAGUCUGCAACUCGACUAUAUGAAGCUGGAAUCGCUAGUAAUCGUAGAUCAGCAUGCUACGGUGAAUACGUUCCCGGGUCU
rnacentral:rRNA from 1 species